rnacentral:rRNA from 1 species
AACGAACGCUGGCGGCAUGCCUAACACAUGCAAGUCGAACGAUGCUUUCGGGCAUAGUGGCGCACGGGUGCGUAACGCGUGGGAGUCUGCCCUUGGGUUCGGAAUAACAGUUAGAAAUGACUGCUAAUACCGGAUGAUGACGUAAGUCCAAAGAUUUAUCGCCCAGGGAUGAGCCCGCGUAGGAUUAGGUAGUCGGUGGGGUAAAGGCCUACCAAGCCGACGAUCCUUAGCUGGUCUGAGAGGAUGAUCAGCCACACUGGGACUGAGACACGGCCCAGACUCCUACGGGAGGCAGCAGUGGGGAAUAUUGGACAAUGGGCGAAAGCCUGAUUCAGCAAUGCCGCGUGAGUGGUGAAGGCCUUAGGGUUGUAAAGCUCUUUUACCCGGGAAGAUAAUGACUGUACCGGGAGAAUAAGCCCCGGCUAACUCCGUGCCAGCCGCCGCCGUAA